AAGACGGAUAACCUGGCCCAAACCUUAUGGAGCUAGAAUAUGACAAAGAGACUGGAAUUUUCUCCAUAAAACCGGAUGCACAGCUCUGGUCCACGCAGAAAAGCGAGAUGAGGAGGAGGAAUGAGAGAAGAGGAGAUUUACGUAGAGGGUUGAGGAUCAGACGUCAUCCACCACACCACAAUGACGGCAGGCUCCACGGCAACCAGCAAUUUUAAGCGACUGAGAAAGUCACAGAGGGAAAAUAGAGACAUAAUUAGAAUAAAUUUUCAGCCACUUCUGUUACUCUAGUGUCAGAAAAUAGGUUGUAUUGAUGUAACGCGUGCAGGUAUUAUGCUCUU
rnacentral:lncRNA from 1 species